GCUGAGGUGUGAUGACGAGGCACUACGGUGCUGAAGUAACAAAUGCCCUGCUUCCAGGAAAAGCCUCUAAGCAUCAGGUAACAUCAAAUCGUACCCCAAACCGACACAGGUGGUCAGGUAGAGAAUACCAAGGCGCUUGAGAGAACUCGGGUGAAGGAACUAGGCAAAAUGGUGCCGUAACUUCGGGAGAAGGCACGCUGGUGUGUAGGUGAAGUCCCUGCGGAUGGAGCUGAGACCAGUCGAAGAUACCAGCUGGCUGCAACUGUUUAUUAAAAACACAGCACUGUGCAAACACGAAAGUGGACGUAUACGGUGUGACGCCUGCCCGGUGCCGGAAGGUUAAUUGAUGGGGUUAUCCGUAAGGAGAAGCUCUUGAUCGAAGCCCCGGUAAACGGCGGCCGUAACUAUAACGGUCCUAAGGUAGCGAAAUUCCUUGUCGGGUAAGUUCCGACCUGCACGAAUGGCGUAAUGAUGGCCAGGCUGUCUCCACCCGAGACUCAGUGAAAUUGAACUCGCUGUGAAGAUGCAGUGUACCCGCGGCAAGACGGAAAGACCCCGUGAACCUUUACUAUAGCUUGACACUGAACAUUGAGCCUUGAUGUGUAGGAUAGGUGGGAGGCUUUGAAGCGUGGACGCCAGUCUGCGUGGAGCCGACCUUGAAAUACCACCCUUUAAUGUUUGAUGUUCUAACGUUGGCCCCUGACCGGGGUUGCGGACAGUGUCUGGUGGGUAGUUUGACUGGGGCGGUCUCCUCCCAAAGCGUAACGGAGGAGCACGAAGGUUAGCUAAUCCUGGUCGGACAUCAGGAGGUUAGUGCAAUGGCAUAAGCUAGCUUGACUGCGAGCGUGACGGCGCGAGCAGGUGCGAAAGCAGGUCAUAGUGAUCCGGUGGUUCUGAAUGGAAGGGCCAUCGCUCAACGGAUAAAAGGUACUCCGGGGAUAACAGGCUGAUACCGCCCAAGAGUUCAUAUCGACGGCGGUGUUUGGCACCUCGAUGUCGGCUCAUCACAUCCUGGGGCUGAAGUAGGUCCCAAGGGUAUGGCUGUUCGCCAUUUAAAGUGGUACGCGAGCUGGGUUUAGAACGUCGUGAGACAGUUCGGUCCCUAUCUGCCGUGGGCGCUGGAGAAUUGAGGGGGGCUGCUCCUAGUACGAGAGGACCGGAGUGGACGCAUCACUGGUGUUCGGGUUGUCAUGCCAAUGGCACUGCCCGGUAGCUAAAUGCGGAAGAGAUAAGUGCUGAAAGCAUCUAAGCACGAAACUUGCCCCGAGAUGAGUUCUCCCUGAGACUUUAAGUCUCCUGAAGGAACGUUAAAGACGAUGACGUUGAUAGGCCGGGUGUGUAAGCGCAGCGAUGCGUUGAGCUAACCGGUACUAAUGAACCGUGAGGCUUAACCUU
rnacentral:rRNA from 1 species